rnacentral:rRNA from 1 species
CAGUAGCCGACCUGAGAGGGUGAUCGGCCACAUUGGAACUGAGACACGGUCCAAACUCCUACGGGAGGCAGCAGUGGGGAAUAUUGCACAAUGGGCGAAAGCCUGAUGCAGCAACGCCGCGUGAGUGCUGAAGGACUUCUGGUCGUAAAACUCUGUCCUCAAGGAAGAUAAUGACGGUACUUGAGGAGGAAGCCCCGGCUAACUACG